AUUGAACGCUGGCGGCAUGCCUUACACAUGCAAGUCGAACGGUAACAGGUUAAGCUGACGAGUGGCGAACGGGUGAGUAAUGCAUCGGAACGUGCCCGAUCGUGGGGGAUAACGCAGCGAAAGCUGCGCUAAUACCGCAUACGAUCUGAGGAUGAAAGCAGGGGACCGUAAGGCCUCGCGCGAUCGGAGCGGCCGAUGUCAGAUUAGGUAGUUGGUGGGGUAAAGGCUCACCAAGCAAACGAUCUGUAGCUGGUCUGAGAGGACGACUAGCCACGAUGGGACUGAGACACGGCCCAGACUCCUACGGGAGGCAGCAGUGGGGAAUUUUGGACAAUGGGCGAAAGCUUGAUCCAGCAAUGCCGCGUGAAGGAAGAAGGCCUUCGGGUUGUAAACUGCUUUUGUACGGAGCGAAAAGGUUCUCGCUAAUACAGAGGGCUCAUGACGGUACCGUAAGAAUAAGCACCGGCUAACUACGUGCCAGCCGCCGCCGUAA
rnacentral:rRNA from 1 species